UACGUAGGCAGCAAGCGUUGUUCGGAGUUACUGGGCGUAAAGGGUGUGUAGGCGGUUGUUUAAGUUUGGUGUGAAAUCUCCCGGCUCAACCGGGAGGGUGCGCCGAAUACUGAAUGACUAGAGUGCGGGAGAGGAAAGUGGAAUUCCUGGUGUAGCGGUGAAAUGCGUAGAUAUCGAGAGGAACACCUGCGGCGAAGGCGGGUAGCUGGGCCGACACUGACGCUGAAGCGCGAAAGCUAGGGGAGCGAACGGG
rnacentral:rRNA from 1 species